rnacentral:ncRNA from 1 species
GGGUGUGACUUUUGCACAUGGCAUAGUUACAGGUUAAUUAAUCUUGAAUGGUCGGGCCGCCAUUC